AUUUUGUUUUGUUCACAAUGUGUACAUUUGGCUCCGUCCUUAAGGGGUUAAACCCAAUUAUGCAUGUCAUGAAGGAAUAACAAGUCUAAUUAAGUGGUAACUGGAUCUAAAUAACAACCAAACACAUGCAAUCAUAUAAUGUCCAAACCGAGAAAAAUCUAUAUGAACGUAACAAUGCAAUACCUACCAUUCGGGCAGGAAAUGUAAGGAGGGAAAUAUUCGCCUCCUGUCAUUACUAAAAUUAAGAUUAUAGGUACA